AUUUAUAUAGUUUAAGAUAUAAAACAUUAUAUUUUCAUUAUAAAAAUAAUAAUUAUUUAUAAAUU
rnacentral:tRNA from 1 species